rnacentral:rRNA from 1 species
CCUACGGGGGGCUGCAGUGGGGAAUAUUGGGCAAUGGGCGAAAGCCUGACCCAGCGACGCCGCGUGGGCGAUGAAGGCCUUCGGGUUGUAAAGCCCUGUCAUGCGGAAAGAACGACCCUGUGACGCAUACUCACAGGGAGUGACGGUACCGCAGGAGGAAGCACCGGCUAACUCCGUGCCAGCAGCCGCGGUAAUACGGAGGGUGCAAGUGUUGGUCGAGAUUAUUGGGCGGGAAAGGCGAGUCAGAUGUGAAAUACUCCGGCUCAACUGGGGAACUGCAUCUGAAACUGCAUAACUAGAGUACAGAAGAGGGAAACGGAAUUCCCGGUGUAGAGGUGAAAUUCGUAGAUAUCGGGAGGAACACCAGUGGCGAAGGCGGUUUCCUGGUCUGAUACUGACGCUGAGGCGCGAAAGUGUGGGGAGCAAACAGGAUUAGAUACCCCGGUAGUC